rnacentral:rRNA from 1 species
UACGAAGGGGACUAGCGUUGUUCGGAAUCACUGGGCGUAAAGCGCACGUAGGCGGAUUUGUAAGUCAGGGGUGAAAUCCCGGGGCUCAACCUCGGAACUGCGUCUGAUACUGGAUGGCUUGAGUUCGGGAGAGGGAUGCGGAAUUCCAGGUGUAGCGGUGAAAUGCGUAGAUAUCUGGAGGAACACCGGUGGCGAAGGCGGCAUCCUGGACCGACACUGACGCUGAGGAGCGAAAGCGUGGGGAGCGAACAGG